rnacentral:rRNA from 1 species
CUACGGGGCGCAGCAGUGGGGAAUAUUGCACAAUGGGCGCAAGUCUGAUGCAGCCAUGCCGCGUGUAUGAAGAAGGCCUUCGGGUUGUAAAGUACUUUCAGUAGGGAGGAAGGUGGUUAAGUUAAUACCUUAAUCAUUUGACGUUACCUACAGAAGAAGCACCGGCUAACUCCGUGCCAGCAGCCGCGGUAAUACGGAGGGUGCAAGCGUUAAUCGGAAUUACUGGGCGUAAAGCGCAUGCAGGUGGUUUGUUAAGUCAGAUGUGAAAGCCCUGGGCUCAACCUAGGAAUCGCAUUUGAAACUGACAAGCUAGAGUACUGUAGAGGGGGGUAGAAUUUCAGGUGUAGCGGUGAAAUGCGUAGAGAUCUGAAGGAAUACCGGUGGCGAAGGCGGCCCCCUGGACAGAUACUGACACUCAGAUGCGAAAGCGUGGGGAGCAAACAGGAUUAGAUACCCCUGUAGUC